UACGUAGGGUGCGAGCGUUAAUCGGAAUUACUGGGCGUAAAGCGUGCGUAGGCGGUUCGUUAAGUUCGUUGUGAAAGCCCCGGGCUCAACCUGGGAAUGGCAAUGGAAACUGGCGGGCUUGAGUAUGGCAGAGGGGGGUGGAAUUCCGCGUGUAGCAGUGAAAUGCGUAGAGAUGUGGAGGAACACCGAUGGCGAAGGCAGCCUUCUGGGCCAACACUGACGCUCAUGCACGAAAGCGUGGGGAGCAAACAGG
rnacentral:rRNA from 1 species